rnacentral:lncRNA from 1 species
ACUCUGGGAAGACAGAGUGUCUUUGGUCCUCAGCAAGAUCAGACCGGAGGCAGAGUUGCUUAUUCCCAUAUAAAGAUCCAGGGUUAAUCCCCGCUGCAGGGCAGCAGGCUGACUUUGGUGGGAUGGCUGGGACUGUGGCAAGCCCUGACUCCCAAGGGCUACAAUUGCGUCCUUUCUGCCUGCCCUCGGGUUUGGCGGGGACAUCCAAUUGGAACCGUGGACCUCAGAGUGUCCGACCAGGCGUUUGUCACGCUGGCCACCAACGACGUGUACUGCCAGGGGGCCUUGGUGCUGGGGCAGUCACUCCGGGAGCACGGGGCCACCAGGAGGCUGGUGGUGCUGCUCACGCCUCAGGUGUCCACCCCGCUCAGGGUUAUCCUCUCAAGGGUGUUCGAUGAGGUCAUCGAGGUGAACCUCAUAGACAGCGCGGACUACGUCCACCUGGCCUUUCUGAAGAGACCUGACCUCGGAAUCACCCUCACCAAGCUUCACUGCUGGACGCUCACCCAUUACAGCAAAUGCGUCUUCCUGGAUGCAGACACAUUGGUGCUGUCCAACAUCGAUGAGCUGUUCGACAGGAGGGAGUUUUCUGCGGCCCCGGAUCCCGGGUGGCCGGAUUGCUUCAAUAGCGGGGUGUUUGUCUUCCAACCCUCGCUGGAGACGCACAGCCUCUUGCUACAGCACGCCGUUGAGCACGGCAGCUUUGAUGGGGCAGACCAAGGCUUGCUGAACAGUUUCUUCAGUAACUGGUCCACCGCCGACAUCCAGAAACACUUGCCCUUCAUCUAUAACUUGAGCAGCAACACCACGUACACCUACAGCCCUGCUUUCAAACAAUUCGGCUCCAGUGCGAAGGUGGUCCACUUUCUGGGGUCCUCGAAGCCUUGGAACUACAAGUACAAUCCCCAGACGGGCUCCGUUUUGGAGGAGGGCUCCGGGCCGGCCGACCAGCCUCAGACGUCCUUCCUAAACCAGUGGUGGGGAAUUUACCACCGUAGCAUCUUGCCCCUUUGUGAAAAUAUCCGGAACAAGGACCACCAGGCGCCCCCAGGUCACACGGCUCGCCUUGGAGGCAUCGGGGUGCCGCGUUCCAGUGUAGCAGCCACAGCAGAGGGGUCGUGUGCGAAUCCAGCAGAGGGGCCCCGGCAGGCUAGCUCUGCUGACAGCUCGGAGAGGACCGUGGGGGUGGAGGGAGACAUCCCCACUCUGGCAGCGUGCCCUUCCGAAGAGCGGCGGGCGGAGAACGAAGGAGGUGCCCCAGCCGAGGACGCCUUGGAACCGAGCCGGGAGCCCCCUGCGGAUGUCAGCAGGGACCCCAGUCCCCAGGACGCUCUGGAGGUGGACCUGACCAUUUCCGUCUCCCAGAUCUCCAUCGAAGAGAAGCUCAAGGUCCUGAGUCCCGAGGAGGAGCGGAGGAAGUGGGAGGAGGGGCGCAUGGAUUACCUGGGGAAGGAUGCCUUUGCCCGCAUUCAGGAAAAGCUGGACCGCUUCCUGCAGUGACCGCGCUGUCCUGUUCCAUCCACGUCCCAAAGCCCUUUCCAAGGAGCUCUUCACCCACGUGCCUCUGUUUACAGUCAGCCCUCCUGAGUGCCUUCUGCCCACCCUGUGGUCCAUCCGAAACCCAGCUUGAAGCCCCGUGUGACCCCACCUCCCCAUGCCUCUCAGGCUUCCCCGGGGACGUCCUGUCUGCUUUAUGUCUUGUUAGCAAAUCACUGAGGAUGGUGACUGCAGCCAUGAAAUUAAAACACACUUGCUCCUUGGAAGAACAGCUGUGACCAACCUAGACAGUGUAUUAAAAAGCAGAGACAUCACUUUGCCCACAAAGGUCCGUCUAAGUCAUAGCUAUGGUUUUUCCAGUGGUCAUGUAUGGAUGUGAGAGUUAGACCAUAAAGAAAACCGAGCGCCAAGUUGAUGCUUUUGAACUGUGGUGUUGGAGAAGACUCUUGAGAGUCCCUUGGACUGCAAGGAGAUCCAACCAGUCCAUCCUAAAGGAAAUCAGUCCUGAAUAUUUAUUGGAAGGACUGAUGUUGAAGCUGAAACUCCAAUACUUUGGCCACCUGAUGCGAAGAACUGACUCAUUUGAAAAGACUCUGAUGCUGGGAAAGAUUGAGGGCAGGAGGAGAAGGGGACAACAGAGGAUGAGAUGGUUGGAUGGCAUCACCGAUUCAAUGGACAUGGGUUUGGGUAAACUCUGGGAGUUGGUGACGGACAGGGAGGCCUGGCGUGUUGCAAUCCACGGGGUGGCAAAAAGUCGGACACGACUCAGCAGCUGAACAGCAGCAAAAGAGAACAUGAGUAUAGCUUCUGGUCAACCCUGGGUCUCUGGACUUGCUUGAAGGAGCUCAGGAUUUUCUCCCGGACUGAUGAAACCACGUCUGUCCUAUGUAGGAUUACCUUGAAGCACUGCAGAGCUUCAAACACGUAGCACUCAGAAAGGUAUUGAGCUCCCUGAGAACCUUCAGAAUGAUUAAGUCCUUUUCUUGAAGACGGGGUCUACGUC